rnacentral:rRNA from 1 species
GACGAACGCUGGCGGCGUGCUUAACACAUGCAAGUCGAACGGAAAGGCCUGCUUUCCCUUGUGGAUUGCGGGUACUCGAGUGGCGAACGGGUGAGUAACACGUGAGUGAUCUGCCUCCAACUUGGGCAUAAGCCUGGGAAACUGGGUCUAAUUCCCGAUAGGACUGCAGGGUGGUGCCUGUGGUGGAAAACGAUUUUCUAGUGGUUGGGGAUGAGCUCGCGGCCUAUCAGCUUGUUGGUGGGGUAAUGGCCUACCAAGGCGGCGACGGGUAGCCGGCCUGAGAGGGUGGACGGCCACAUUGGGACUGAGAUACGGCCCAGACUCCUACGGGAGGCAGCAGUGGGGAAUAUUGCACAAGGGGCGGAAGCCUGAUGCAGCGACGCCGCGUGGGGGAUGACGGCCUUCGGGUUGUAAACUCCUUUCGACCGCGAGGAAGCCACCUGGUUGGAAGGGUGGUGACGGUAGUGGUAGAAGAAGCACCGGCUAACUACGUG